UACGGGGGGUGCUAGCGUUGUUCGGAAUCAUUGGGCGUAAAGAGCGUGUAGGCGGCUGGAUAAGUCAGAUGUGAAAGCCCUGGGCUUAACCCAGGAAGUGCAUUUGAAACUGUUCAGCUUGAGUAAGGGAGAGGAAAGUGGAAUUCCUGGUGUAGAGGUGAAAUUCGUAGAUAUCAGGAGGAACACCGGUGGCGAAGGCGACUUUCUGGCCCUAUACUGACGCUGAGACGCGAGAGCGUGGGUAGCAAACAGG
rnacentral:rRNA from 1 species